rnacentral:rRNA from 1 species
CGUUCCCGGGCUUUUUGUACACACCGCCCGUCACACCACGAGAGUUUACAACACCCGAAGUCGAUGGGGUAACCCCGCAAGGGGGGCCAGCCGCCGAAGGUGGGGUAGAUGAUUGGGGUG